CUUUGAGAGUUCGUUAAACGGAUGCCAAAGUACUAUACUUUGUGAUUUCGGUAAACGGAAUCCAAAUUGUUACACUUUGUGAAAUUCAUUAAGGUUCGAAUCUCGUGACUACCGUUAAGGUUUGAUUUGGGUUUUACACAAAUACGUAUUCCAUUCUGUUAAACUAUAUGUUUAACUACCAAAAAUACUCCCAACUACACACUCACAAUCAAACAAACUAUUAAAUCAUCAGAAGAUCCAGAAUAAUAAAGUGCAUGCUUAAUUAUCGGAAGAAGUAGAAUCAAGAAGCUUGUUAACUCAAUCUUGCAUGCUUAUAUAUAGAUUGGAGUAAGAAUUGGAUCCGGCACUGAAGGACUUCAAGAAGUGGCUUAUUUUAUUAAUUA
rnacentral:lncRNA from 1 species